AGAGGCCCAAGUCGACAGCCUGCGGCGUAAAGAGUGGUUAAGCGCCCCCCCCCAACUAAAGCCAAACGCCCCCAAAGCCGUUAUACGCACUCCGAAGGGCAGAGGAUUCUCCACGAAGGUGGCUUUAAACCAGCUGAACCCACGAAACCUAUAGAACAAACUGGGAUUAGAUACCCCACUAUGUAUAGCUAUAAACCUUGAUAGGCCCCUACACGUCUAUCCGCCCGGGGAUUACGAGCAUCA
rnacentral:rRNA from 1 species